GAUUAGAUGGUUUUGGGGUGAUGAUAUCGACAAGAUUGCUAUUAACGAUAUCUUUGAGGUCUCAUCAAAAGAAAGUGAAAUUGCUCCAUUAAUAUUGUUCGUGAAGCACAUAGAAAAGGCCAUGUGGUUUGGUGAAGGGGUGAAGUAUGUCAAAGCAGUUUUCUCUGAAGCUACUAAAAUUGCUCCCAGUGUUG